GACGAACGCUGGCGGCGUGCUUAACACAUGCAAGUCGAACGGUAAGGCCCUUCGGGGUACACGAGUGGCGAACGGGUGAGUAACACGUGGGUGAUCUGCCCUGCACUUCGGGAUAAGCCUGGGAAACUGGGUCUAAUACCGGAUAGGACCACUGCCUGCAUGGGUGGUGGUGGAAAGCUUUUGCGGUGUGGGAUGGGCCCGCGGCCUAUCAGCUUGUUGGUGGGGUGAUGGCCUACCAAGGCGACGACGGGUAGCCGGCCUGAGAGGGUGACCGGCCACACUGGGACUGAGAUACGGCCCAGACUCCUACGGGAGGCAGCAGGGGGGAAAAUUGCACAAUGGGCGCAAGCCUGACGCAGCGACGCCGCGUGAGGGAUGACGGCCUUCGGGUUGUAAACCUCUUUCAGCACCGACGAAGCGCAAGUGACGGUAGGUGCAGAAGAAGGACCGGCCAACUACGUGCCAGCCGCCGCCGUAA
rnacentral:rRNA from 1 species